UACGAAACCCUAUUUUGAGGCAAAAUCCAGACUCUCCCUCUCUCUCUCUCCCCUGCAAAACCCUCUUUUGCUUAAGCCUGUUUGAAAGCCACAAAGAACCAACCCUGCGAGCAGCAACAACCAGUAAGACAACAAGCAACAUUCUUUCUCUCCCCUGCUCUUCGUAAAAAACCAGCCCUGCGACCAUCAACGACCAGCAAGCUGAAUGAGGCAAGGCUCUCUGUUUCUCUCACCAAGGCAACAAGACAAUGAUUGGAGGGUGUUCCUCUAUCUCUCUCCACAGAGCACAACAAAAGCCUUAACAAUGUCAUUUCAUUCUACAAGUAAUUGAGGUAUACAACUCGACAAUGCCCAAUGUGCAGUAUAGAUUGUGCUAAGAUAGCAUCAAGAAGCCAAAGUAACCCGAACAGGCUGUACUAUAGAUGUCCCAUAUGUGGGUUCUUCCAAUGGUGUGAUGAAUAUAUUGGCACUGUAGAAAAUGUCAAUUUAAGACAUCGCAAUACACGACAGUGGAAUCCAGUACAAGAAUCAGAAGAACGUGUCAUGGUCAAUCAAGAAACAAGUGUUGGGGUAUGAUGCGAUACUCGUUGACAUAGGGCACAUGCAUAAAUUCUUACUUAGGUACCUUUGCACGUUAGUAACAAUUUUUGUAUUUCUUGUGUAUAAUAAAUGUGUGCUUGCUUGCUCUCAUCUUGUUUAUUUUUAUAUUUUUCAUUAGAAACAUGUGAUACUUUCUAACUUGAAAUUGUUUUUUUUACUAAGGGUUGCCUUUUUACUAAUAUAAUUAUUCCCAUUGUGGAAUUUAACUUAUUCUCCUUUUAUGGAAAAUGUUGUAGUUGAAAGUAGCAAAAGGGUUUUUUUGAUAAUGUAAACAUGUAUUAUUUGCUAUGCAAUUCCAAUUCAAAGA